rnacentral:rRNA from 1 species
UACAGAGGGUGCUAGCGUUGUUCGGAAUCAUUGGGCGUAAAGGGCGCGUAGGCGGGAUGGCAAGUCGGUCGUGAAAUCCUUCGGCUCAACCGAAGAACGUCGGCCGAUACUGCCGUUCUUGAGGGAUGCAGAGGAGAUUGGAAUUCCCGGUGUAGCGGUGAAAUGUGUAGAGAUCGGGAGGAACACCGGUGGCGAAGGCGGGUCUCUGGGCAUCUCCUGACGCUGAGGCGCGAAAGCGUGGGGAGCAAACGGG